rnacentral:rRNA from 1 species
AUUGAACGCUGGCGGCAUGCUUUACACAUGCAAGUCGGACGAGUGGCGAACGGGUGAGUAACGCAUCGGAAUGCACCGAGUAAUGGGGGAUAACUGUCCGAAAGGACAGCUAAUACCGCAAAUUAUGCGAGCGGCCGAUGUUGGAUUCGCUGGUUGGAGGGGUAACGGCCCACCAAGGCGACGAUCAGUAGCGGGUCUGAGAGGAUGAUCCGCCACACGGGGACUGAGACACGGCCCAGACUCCUACGGGAGGCAGCAGGGGGGAAUUUUGGACAAUGGGCGCAAGCCUGAUCCAGCCAGGCCGCGUGUCUGAAGAAGGUCUUCGGGUUGUAAAGGACUUUUGUCAGGGAGGCGGUACCUAAAGAAUAAGCACCGGCGAACUACGUGCCAGCAGCCGCGGUAAUAU